UUUUUUUUUUAAAGGCGGUACCUGAGAUUGAACCCAGGACCUUGUACAUGGGAAGCAGGUGCUGAGCCACUGAGCUACGUCCACUCUCUUCCAAAUACCGUUUUAAAGACCUUUGACACAUCUUGUAGCACCGACGCUUUUCCCCCAACGCUCCCCCAGGAAAAAGAGAGGCAUUGACUUUGAUUUAUAAGCAUUUCUCUCUUGCCAAGUUCAGGAUCUUGGUAAGUACUCAACCCUGUUUCAGCCUAUUUCAGCCCUUGGGCUACUC
rnacentral:lncRNA from 1 species